rnacentral:ribozyme from 1 species
AGCUGUCUGUACUUCGUUUUUUCUUUCUUUCUUUCUUUUCUCUCCUUUUUUUCUCUCCCUUUUGUGUUUUUGGGAAGAGCAA